rnacentral:rRNA from 1 species
AAGCCACGGCUAACUACGUGCCAGCAGCCGCGGUAAUACGUAGGUGGCGAGCGUUGUCCGGAAUAACUGGGCGUAAAGGGAGCGUAGGUGGUUGAUUAAGUUAGGUGUGAAAGCCCAAGGCUCAACUUUGGAAUUGCACUUAAAACUGGUUAGCUAGAGUACAGGAGGGGUAAACGGAAUUUCUAGUGUAGCGGUGAAAUGCGUAGAUAUUAGGAAGAACACCGGAGGCGAAGGCGGUUUACUGGACUGCAACUGACACUGAGGCUCGAAAGCGUGGGGAGCAAACAGGAUUAGAUACCCUGGUAGUCCACGCCCUAAACGAUGAUUACUAAACGUGGGAGGUAUCGACUCCUUCCGUGUUGCAGCAAACGCGAUAAGUAAUCCGCCUGAGGAGUACGGCCGCAAGGUUAAAACUCAAAGGAAUUGACGGGGACCCGCACAAGCAGCGGAGCAUGUUGUUUAAUUCGAAGCUACGCGAAGAACCUUACCAAGACUUGACAUAAUAGGGCAUAUCAUGGAAACAUGAGAAAGGAUAGCAAUAUUCACUUAUUACAGAUGGUGCAUGGUUGUCGUCAGCUCGUGUCGUGAGAUGUUGGGUUAAGUCCCGCAACGAGCGCAACCCUUGCAUUUAGUUACCACUAUUCAGUUAGGGGACUCUAGAUGGACUGCCGUAGGUAAUACGGAGGAAGGUGGGGAUGACGUCAAAUCAUCAUGCCUCUUACGUCUUGGGCUACAAGCGUGCUACAAUGGCUAUAACAAAGAGAAGCGAAUCGGAGACGAGGAGCAAACCUGGAAAAGAUAGUCUCAGUUCAGACUGUGGAUUGAAACUCAUCCACACGAAGAUGAAGUUGCUAGUAAUCCCGAAUCAGAAUGUCGGGGUGAAUGCGUUCCCGGGUCUUGU